CUUUCCUGUAGCUUUGUAUUUGACUUUGAACAGAUCUGUGUAGGAUAGGUGGGAGGCUUUGAAGUGAGGUCGCUAGAUCUCAUGGAGCCAACGUUGAAAUACCACCCUGGUGUGUUUGAGGUUCUAACCUAGGUCCAUUAUCUGGAUCGGGGACAGUGCAUGGUAGGCAGUUUGACUGGGGCGGUCUCCUCCCAAAGCGUAACGGAGGAGUUCGAAGGUACGCUAGUUACGGUCGGACAUCGUGACGAUAGUGCAAUGGCAUAAGCGUGCUUAACUGCGAGACUGACAAGUCGAGCAGAUGCGAAAGCAGGACAGAGUGAUCCGGUGGUUCUGUAUGGAAGGGCCAUCGCUCAACGGAUAAAAGGUA
rnacentral:rRNA from 1 species